CCUACGGGAGGCAGCAGUAGGGAAUAUUGCUCAAUGGGGGAAACCCUGAAGCAGCAACGCCGCGUGGAGGAUGAAGGUUUUCUGAUUGUAAACUCCUUUUGUUCGAGGAGAUAAUGACGGUAUCUAAAGUAUAAUCACCGUCUAACUCCGUGCCAGCAGCCGCAGUAAUACGGCGGGUGCAAGCGUUAAUCGGAAUCACUGGGCGUAAAGAUCGCGUAGGCGGGAUAGCAAGUCAGAUGUGAAAUCCUAUGGCUUAACCAUAGAACUGCAUUUGAAACUGUUAUUCUAGAGUAUGGGAGAGGUAGGUGGAAGUCGUGGUGUAGGGGUGAAAUGCGUAGAGAUCAAGAAGAAUACUCAUUGCGAAGGCGACCUGCUAGAACAUAACUGACGCUGAUGCGCGAAAGCGUGGGGAGCAAACAGGAUUAGAUACCCGGGUAGUC
rnacentral:rRNA from 1 species